UACGGAGGAUGCAAGCGUUAUCCGGAAUUAUUGGGCGUAAAGCGUCCGCAGGUGGCUCAUCAAGUCUGCUGUCAAAGGCAGGGGCUUAACUCCUGAAAGGCAGUGGAAACUGGGGAGCUAGAGUGCAGUAGGGGUAGAGGGAAUUCCCGGUGUAGCGGUGAAAUGCGUAGAGAUCGGGAAGAACAUCGGUGGCGAAAGCGCUCUGCUGGACUGCAACUGACACUAAAGGACGAAAGCUAGGGGAGCGAAUGGG
rnacentral:rRNA from 1 species